CCCUUAGAUAUCCUAGGCAGCACGCGUGCUACAAUGGAACGUGCAAUGCGUACCGCUCGCCUAUAGGUUGGCGCAAUCCUCAGGGCGUUCCGAAGCGUGGGAUUGUUCAUUGAAAUGUUGAACUCGAACCAGGAAUGCCUAGUAAGUGUGAAUCAUCAGUUCACGCUGAUUAUGUCCCUGCCCUUUGUACACACCGCCCAUCGCACCUACUGAUUAGCGAAAAAGAUAAGUAGGGAGGAAAUGUUGUUGGAACGUUUUUAACGUAAGAUGAUGCUGAAGUUCCACGAAUCUUUCUUGCCAUAAGAAGGUAAAGUUGUAACA
rnacentral:rRNA from 1 species